GGGGCUGUAGCUCAGCUGGGAGAGCACCUGCUUUGCAAGCAGGGGGUCAGCGGUUCGAUCCCGCUCAGCUUCACCA
rnacentral:tRNA from 1 species